GGGCUCACACAAGCGGUGGAGGAUGUGGCUUAAUUCGAGGCUACGCGAAGAACCUUAUCCUAGUCUUGACAUGUAUGGAUUAACCCUGUGAAAGCAGGGCCACGCCUUCGGGUGGAACAUACACAGGUGCUGCAUGGCUGUCGUCAGCUCGUGUCGUGAGAUGUCGCGUUAAGUCGCUUAACGAGCGAAACCCUUGUCUCUAGUUGCCAGCGCGUAAAAGGCGGGGACUCUAGAGAGACGCCGGCGUUAAGCCGGAGGAAGGUGGGGAUGACGUCAAGUCCUCAUGGCCCUUAUGACUAGGGCUGCACACGUCCUACAAUGGAACGCACAAAAGGGAAGCGAAACCGCGAGGUC
rnacentral:rRNA from 1 species